UUUUUUUCUUUUUUUUUUUUUUUUUUUUUUUUUUCGUCUCCUGAGCAGAUUCUGCUGCAGCUCAGCUUUGGGUGGAGGCUGGGGGUUAUCUCGGAGCUUCACAAGCCUCGCUGUGCUCUGCGGGGAGUUGCAGCUCGUGCUCACUGCAGACCCAGAGUAGGUGAGCCAGGAAAGCCUGGCUCGAGCAACCACUUCAGAGGGCAGGACAGGGAGGAAAAGCAAACACUGUAGAGAGGUGGCCUCCCUGGUAAGGCUAGAGCAGGACCGUCCUGCGGACCCUAAGGGAGGGAGAAGGUAAGUGGCUGCUUGGCAGAGGCUGCCUGCGGGAGCGGCAUGUGCCGGGCAGGGCGCGCCCUGCCCGCAGUUCCUGCGGCUCAGCACCAGCCGCUCCGUGGGUUUGUACAGCCUGUGCUGUGGUAUGUGCCGAGACUCAGGGCUGUUCCCCUGCGAGGGAGAGCACUGGGUGCUGCCGCGAAGGAGGCACCGCAGCCCGCGCCUUUCACAACGACUGCGCUCAUCGCUCCAUUCCUCGCUCCCCCUUCUCGCUCCUCACCGGGUCAGGCUCUGUCGAGAACAAGCGACAAACCGUCCGCACAAAACAGAACACGUUUCCAUGGAGGGGGAAAAAAAUACCAACAAAAACAACUAACAAAAGCGUUUCCGCAGUGCCAGGCUGGCUCUGAAGCGCUGCCUCAGCGCUGUGAGCCCCGUCGGGGGCUCCGGGGCCGGGGCCGCCCGAGCCGCCGCCCGGUCCCUGCCCGGCCGCUGGAGCCAGCGCUGAGCCUGGGUCACGGCGGCUCUCAGUGACCAUCUGCCAGCAAAAUCGGAAGGAACGGUGACGUUAUUCUUAGCAGAACACCAUUGAAAUGCUCCUCUGGUAUUUCUCAGUAGAGGUGAAAAGCAUUUCAGCUUCCUGGAAAUGGCCGAAGCUGGCGACGUGUAGAUCAAAGACUCUGAUCUUUGUCUGCGAUUAAUCAUUGUCCAGGACGGCUGUUCCCGAUGGUAGGAUCCAUGAAGUGCUCCAGCUGGGAGAGGUCCUAACGCCUGUGCCUGGCUCUGCGUACGUGCAAACCAGGGCCAGAAAUUGCUGGGGCAGCAGGGGCUGGACAGCGAGCCCGCCGUGCCCCCCAAGUGAAUUGUGUGGGUCCUCAGCACUUCUGGAAAUGGUUUUUGUAAGUCUGAGCUGAAAAUUUCUUUCCGUUUUUUAAGAGUUUCUGAAUGACUAUAAUGUUCAAUGUAGUUUAAAAGUCGCCAAGGCAGUUGAGACCGGUUGUGCUCUCAGAGUGGGUGGUUUCAUGGCUGCUGAACCUCGUAUCUGAAAAGCAAAAUGUUCUGGUACAGCGUGUUUAAAUCCCAGAAAGGUCAAACCAGACUUUCAUACUUGGGUUAGACUGACCCUGGUGUGCUGCAUGAGACUUUUUAGAUAAAGAAAGAGAUCUUUCAGGGAGAAGGAGGAAAAAAAAAAAAAAAAAAGUUGGUUUGUGUUUUUUUUUCUGAACAGCUUGUGGUGACUCUGUGCACAGUCUUGAAGCAAAGGGGUUUGUUCUUGCCCACAGUGUCCCUCCCCGGCAUUGCUGAGUGGAAAACUCUUAUGCUAAUUAUAUCACUGUCUGUUAUCAAUAAGAAGUGAUUUAAUUUCUUUGGCAAAGUGUUGCAACAAGAGCAAAUUAGAUUGAGAGGCAAAGUGAAAUAAAAAAUAUGCAGCUGUUCUGCCAAACAAUGAUCCUGACUGUUUACAACAUUUUGUUUUAGGCUGCCUUGUACACAGAAUCCUUUAUAUUGAAGCUAUUCAAGUCACAAUCCAUUGCUUGUGCAAGGAAACUAGAUUAAUAGAUUAUGAAAGACAAAGAGACCAAGGUUCAUCUGGUUCGACAUCCUGCAUUAUGUAGGUCUCGGGAUUUUUGUGAAUUUGUUGCUUUUCCUCAUUUGAAAGAAUUUAACUGCAGCAUGCCUGCAUCUUAAAUGAAGAUCACAUUUUCAUUUUAAAAUGGGCUGUGAGAGGGAGUAAAAUAAGAGUAAAUUUUUUCCAUCAAAAUCUACCAGCCAGACUAGAAAUCAAAGUACCUUUUUAAACUUGUCUAGUUUCUGUUUUCAGUUUCUGGAUGUCUCUGCCCCUCAGUCUGCUUGGUGGAGGAAUACUCCAUGGCCAGAUUUUCAUCCCUGUGUAGCCGUGCUCAGGCUGAGCAUUUAAUACUCCAUUGCAGACUGCAGAGCUCCCCCUCGGGUCCAUCUUUACUAAUCCUGGAAUUGUUCCUGCCUGUGAAUGCUCCAGUUUGUCACCAUUUUGAUCUGGGCAGAAGGGGACGGAGCCCUCGGCAGGGACCAGACCCGAGCCAACAGCGCUCCUGGCUGAGCUGUCAGGAAUCCUGAGCUGUCAGGAAUCCAGGGAUUACACCGGCCCAUGUUCAGCUGGUUUCCCAGCACGGCUCCUAAAAUACUCUCAGAUCUGCUCCUUCUUAGGAUGGCAACCCUGUGCUGUAGGUUUGUGCUCUUUGUUCUGCAUGUAUGGCUUUGCUCUUGCUCCUCCUGAAAAGGACAAGCCCUUAGCGUUGUUGCUUACAAUAGGCUUUUUUUUUAAUUCUUAUUUUUAUUUAUUCCUCCCCCCCCCGUGCUACUGCUAAGCGUCACCUACAAAGUUGGUUGGUCGUGAUUUUGUAUUUUCUCCAGAUAAACAACUGGUUCUGUCUCCACUGUGGGUGUUUCCUGGUUCCGGGUGCGUGUACACACACCUCAGCCGUGUCAAUAUUGUGUCAGGAGGAGGGCUGGUUGUACAACAUCCCCUUGCCACACCCCAGUUUCAUGGGAAGAAAGCCCAGCUUAGGAGCUGGAAGGGAGCCAGGAAGCACACUGCAACAUUUACUUGCCGUGGUGUCUAUUAUGUAGCCAUUAAAUAACCUAAGGCCCAAAUCAGGUGGACUCGCCAAGGAGGGAGGACACCUCUGGGACACGGUGGUUACAAAGUGCAUUUUGAGACCUUCCUGUUAGAUGGGUUUUUCAGAGGUGGUGCCUCUACUAUGUAUUCUCUACUCAGCUGUUCGUUCAAGACCUAAAUGCAUUUGGGACUCCUUCCCCACUGCCAAAUUUGAUUGAGAUUGGAGGGGGAAAUGACAUAGAACUACACAGUCACAUUAGACAGUUUUAUUUUUAGGAAACCAGGCUAAGAAUAUCGAAGGAAUAUCGAGUAGGAAUAUGGACAUGGUAUUUGCCUGUUCAGUUUUUCUUGCCAUGAAAUUUUCCAUUUUUUUCCUGAGAACAGCAGAUGAUCUGUCUUGGGAAUUGUCAGCCAAAAUAAGCAACCUCUUGACAGAUUUCACCUGUGUCCCAGCGUGCUCUGAGGGUACAUGGGAUGUGAGCCUUGAACAGUGACAGGGAAUCACUAGUUGGCUGUGUUGUUUGGCUGCUGGGGUGCAGAGAUACAUGCUGAUACCCAGUAGCGGAACAAACAUCUACUUUUUUUUAAGAUCCAGACAAAUUUUGAUGGGUAUGUUGGAUAUUUGCCAGAGAUUUUUUUUUUUUUUUGUUACUUUUCAAGCUGUAUCUGUUCAUUCUAUACCUGCUAGUGUUAUGACAAAGCCACCUCUGUGAGGUAGGGAGUGAGUGCUUUCAGAGAUCUAAUCAUUCUUGAGCUAUAAAGGAAUAAAGAGGCUGUUUCAACACCUGACUUGCAGAAUGUUUUGUGUUGCUUCUUGCCCAUUGAAAUGCAGCUGCUAUUGAAACACCGUGAUCCCAUCGGGAUGUAGAACCGGUUAUUUUUUUAGAAUGCUUUCAAGCUUAUAAAAAUCAUGAAAUAAAUCAAGAAGGUUGGCAAUUCUAAUCAGCAUUCUAAAGCCAUCAAAUUACAAAACAGUUCAGUGCUUCGUGGCCUCUGAACAGUACAGUUUUACA